CCUACGGGGGGCUGCAGUGGGGAAUAUUGCACAAUGGGGGAAACCCUGAUGCAGCAACGCCGCGUGAGUGAAGAAGUAUUUCGGUAUGUAAAGCUCUAUCAGCAGGGAAGAAGAAAGAUGGUACCUGACUAAGAAGCCCCGGCUAACUACGUGCCAGCAGCCGCGGUAAUACGCAGGGGGCAAGCGUUAUCCGGAGUUACUGGGGGUAAAGGGAGCGUAGACGGCUGUGCAAGUCUGAAGUGAAAGCCCGUGGCUCAACCGCGGAAGUGCUGUGGAAACUGUAUAGCUUGAGUACUGGAGAGGCAGGCGGAAUUCGUGGUGUAGCGGGGAAAUGCGUAGAGAUAAGGAGGAACACCGGUGGCGAAGGCGGCUUGCUGGACAGAAACUGACGUUGAGGCGCGAAAGCGUGGGGAGCAAACAGGAUUAGAUACCCCGGUAGUC
rnacentral:rRNA from 1 species